rnacentral:rRNA from 1 species
CCUACGGGCGGCAGCAGUGGGGAAUAUUGGACAAUGGGGGCAACCCUGAUCCAGCCAUGCCGCGUGUGUGAAGAAGGCCCUCGGGUUGUAAAGCACUUUCAGUGAGGAAGAACGCCUGGUGGUUAAUACCCAUCAGGAAAGACAUCACUCACAGAAGAAGCACCGGCUGACUCCGUGCCAGCAGCCGCGGUAAUACGGAGGGUGCGAGCGUUAAUCGGAAUUACUGGGCGUAAAGCGCGCGUAGGUGGCUUGAUAAGCCGGUUGUGAAAGCCCCGGGCUCAACCUGGGAACGGCAUCCGGAACUGUCAAGCUAGAGUGCAGGAGAGGAAGGUAGAAUUCCCGGUGUAGCGGUGAAAUGCGUAGAGAUCGGGAGGAAUACCAGUGGCGAAGGCGGCCUUCUGGACUGACACUGACACUGAGGUGCGAAAGCGUGGGUAGCAAACAGGAUUAGAUACCCUAGUAGUC